rnacentral:rRNA from 1 species
CCUACGGGAGGCAGCAGUGAGGAAUAUUGGUCAAUGGGCGCGAGCCUGAACCAGCCAAGUAGCGUGAAGGAUGACUGCCCUACGGGUUGUAAACUUCUUUUAUAAAGGAAUAAAGUGAGGCACGUGUGCCUUUUUGUAUGUACUUUAUGAAUAAGGAUCGGCUAACUCCGUGCCAGCAGCCGCGGUAAUACGGAGGAUCCGAGCGUUAUCCGGAUUUAUUGGGUUUAAAGGGAGCGUAGAUGGGGUGUUAAGUCAGUUGUGAAAGUUUGCGGCUCAACCUUAAAAUUGCAAUUGAUACUGGCAGCCUUGAGUACAGUAGAGGUAGGCAGAAUUCGUAGUGUAGCGGUGAAAUGCUUAGAUAUCACGAAGAAGUCCGAUUGCGAAGGCAGCCUACUAAGCUGCCACUGACAUUGAUGCUCGAAAGUGUGGGUAUCAAACAGGAUUAGAUACCCUAGUAGUC